rnacentral:rRNA from 1 species
UAGGGAAUCUUCGGCAAUGGGGGGAACCCUGACCGAGCAACGCCGCGUGAGUGAAGAAGGUUUUCGGAUCGUAAAGCUCUGUUGUUAAGGAAGAACGAGUGUGAGAAUGGAAAGUUCAUACUGUGACGGUACUUAACCAGAAAGGGACGGCUAACUACGUGCCAGCAGCCGCGGUAAUACGUAGGUCCCGAGCGUUGUCCGGAUUUAUUGGGCGUAAAGCGAGCGCAGGCGGUUAGAUAAGUCUGAAGUUAAAGGCAGUGGCUCAACCAUUGUAGGCUUUGGAAACUGUUUAACUUGAGUGCAGAAGGGGAGGGUGGAAUUCCAUGUGUAGCGGUGAAAUGCGUAGAUAUAUGGAGGAACACCGGUGGCGGAAGCGGCUCUCUGGUCUGUAACUGACGCUGAGGCUCGAAAGCGUGGGGAGCGAACAGG